rnacentral:lncRNA from 1 species
CAGCUCCAGGCUCUCCAUGCAAUUUGUUGAAUCACCAUCCCUGGAGGGGUUUAACAGCCUUGAUGUGGCACCUGGGGACAUUGGGGUGGCCUUGGCAGUGCUGGGGAACUGUUGGACUCUUAAAGGUCUUUGCCAACUUUAACAAUUCCAUGAUUCCAUGGUGGGGGAAGGAGGAGGCUCUUCAGGAUGGGGAAAGGGGUAGAAAUUCCUUGGUUGUGAAUAGGAGCCACUGAAGGAUUUGCAUGAUCCAAAGAGAAAUCACAGAAUAUGUGAUUUCUUCUGACCCUUUAAGAGCUGGGGAUUCAGCCCCAAUGAUCUGGGAGGAAGCAGUUUUCUGGGAAUCACAAGUCCCAUGUGAAGGGUUUCAAGAGGAGUCCAGGUUAGGAGGAAGGACUGAAAUGGGACAAUGACUGCUGGAAGUGUCAGGUGUGGGAUUUAGGGAGGAAAAUGCAGUAUUCCACUUUGAUCUGCUACUCCAGAUUCCCACACUGAUGCAAUUUGGAUGAGUUCCCGUACCUGGAGAGGUUUGAAAUGUGUGGAUGUGGCACUUGGGGACAUUGUGGUGGCCUUGGCAGUGCUCUUAAAGGUCUUUCCCAAGUUAAACAAUUCUGUGAUUCAUGGUGGGUGAAGGAGACAGGAGCCAAACUGGGCUCUUCAGAAUGGGGAAAGGGGUAGAAAUUCCUUGGGAAUAAGAGCCAGUGAAGGAUUUGCAUCUUCCGAGUGGGAGCAGUGAUGUGAACGCCUGCAUCCACAUUUAUCCAUAGGGAUGGGAGGGGGGGAGGAGUUGGAGCACUGGAUUAAAGCCAGGCAGGAUGUUGAGGUCACUCUGUUUGCCUGGGGUGGAUGAAAACACAGCCCCGUUUUCCUGCUGUGCUGCUGGAUGGGGCAGAUCCAAUGCCUCGAAUCUCCAGGAAUCUCCAAAUUGGAGCUCCCUGGGACAAAAACAGCUUCACCAAAAAUCCCAUCCUGGACUCAUCCUGUUUCCAAAUGGAAUUGCCCAGCAGAGGAGGAGUCUCCAUCACUCACUCCCAUUGUCCCCUCAGUGCACUGGGAUGUUUUCCUGCUUUUUCCCUGACAGAGGGAUCAACAGGAGGGAAAUUACCCAGAGACGGGGUUCAGCUUCCCUCCCUCAAGGGAAUUGAUAACAGCUCCAUAAGGAUCCACAAAAAUUUUGGCUCUACCACAUCCAUGUUGUGUUUUCUCCCAGAAAUCUCCGUGUCCUGAGAGAAAUCUUUUGGUGGUUUGUUUCCUCCCCACCCUCUCUGUAUAGCGAAAUCCAGCCGGGAAUAAAAGCGCUUUGUACAUGGAAACA